rnacentral:lncRNA from 1 species
GUGCCGACUUGACGCGCCAUGGGUAGUACCUCUUUGCCGCUGCCACCGGAGGAGUGGGAGAGUAGAGUGUACGUGAGCCGGGGGAAGCCAUGGAUGAUGAUCAGGUUUGUAUGUCAAUUUGUAUCGUCGAUGGUUCAGCUAGCCAUGGAUUGACCCCUCCAUACAGAGAGAGCUGCUUUGCCUAGAGUGAUGGAGUAUCAAUGCAGACUAUAUAAUUGCUAUUGUAUCCGAGUUAUUUUGCAUGCAGUAUAUCUAUCUUAUUUUUUUUCCUUAAUGAAAUUUUCUCUACAACUUAAAUGUCUUUCCUGAGUUAUAACUAGAGGAGAUCGAUUGUUGGAUCGAUGUAAAUGUGUCUCGUGAUCUUCUUGCCAUGCAUAUAUCUUGAUCGAUUUAGCAAGAUUUGUUUUCACUCUGAAGGAUUAAAAUGUUACACGUCCUUGGCAUGUCUUAUCUAUACCAAUAUAUUAAAUUGGAGUUGGUGGUGAUGGUACGGGCAUCGCGGUACGUCACUUCAUCGAAAUUACGAAUCUGCCACCACGAUACCCACGCGCCUUUUAAUCCCGGCUCCUGCGGUCCUCAAGCGCAGAAAAAACACGUACCGCCCAAAAAGAAAAAAAGAACAACAGAGCCCUCUUCGCUCCUUCUUCUCUCCUACGAAUCUCACCCCCACCCCUUGCCCAAUCUGGAUCUCGCCGCCGCCCU